rnacentral:lncRNA from 1 species
AUGAGUCAAGCAACUGAGAGAGAGGCCAGUGAUGGGAUGGCAAAGGAGAAGUUGGAGUAUUCUAAAGAAGAGGAAGGACAUCAGAAGAGGAGGCAAGUCAGCAAACCUCUGAUGCAGACUCUCUGGGCACAGUUCAAAAGCAGUAGGCAUCUUGGACGAAAGGAUUGCUUUAGACUUUCAUUUGAGUUUUCAUUGGUCGACAUACAGAUCACAAAAUGGUUUAAACAAAAGAAGAAGCAAUAUCAAAAAUGUUGUAAGGAUACAACUAAUUACUACAAAUGCAAAUGACUUUGGCAGAGGUCUGAAGACCAUCCAUAUCUUUAUCAUCUACAUGAAGAGAUUUUCCUGAAGAUGCAGAAGAAUUUUAAUGAUCAAUAUAGAACCUUGUUAGUGACCAAUUAUGGGAUUCUGAGCAUGUCCUCAUUUUUAAAGCACUACCUUAAUGAUACAGUUCAAUAAUUUUUAAUAAAAAUUCAUCAUGACCCA